AUUCUUGUAUGGUUCAUAAGUAUGAUGCUUAAAUUUUCACACCAUUGCACGAAUGCAUCUCCUUCAAAUAUGGUUAACACAUUGGCAUAUUACCCAUCUGAUG
ensembl:snoRNA